CGGGGUGUAGCGCAGUUGGUAGCGCGCAUCGUUCGGGACGAUGAGGUCGACGGUUCAAAUCCGUCAUUCCCGACCA
rnacentral:tRNA from 1 species